GGUUAUACGAGAGGCCCAAGUUGAUUGACAUCGGCGUAAAGCGUGGUUAAGGCCAAAAAUGAAACUAAAGCCGAACACCUUCAGAGCUGUUAUACGCAUCCGAAGGCAAGAAGUUCAACCACGAAGGUGGCUUUAUAACCCCUGAACCCACGAAAGCUAAGAUACAAACUGGGAUUAGAUACCCCACUAUGCCUAGCCAUAAACAUUGGUAGCACAUUACACCCACUACCCGCCUGGGAACUACGAGCAUCAGCUUGAAACCCAAAGGACUUGGCGGUGCUUUAGAUCCACCUAGAGGAGCCUGUUCUAGAACCGAUAACCCCCGUUCAACCUCACCUUUCCUUGUCUCUCCCGCCUAUAUACCGCCGUCGUCAGCUUACCCUGUGAAGGUUAAAUAGUAAGCAAAAUUGGUACAACCUAAAACGUCAGGUCGAGGUGUAGCGUAUGGGAAGGGAAGAAAUGGGCUACAUUUCCUACUACAGGAAAUACGAAUGAUGUACUGAAACGUAUAUCU
rnacentral:rRNA from 1 species